rnacentral:lncRNA from 1 species
CAUUUAUUUGCUUCCCUUGCUUCCAGAUGGACUUCUGCCUUCCUCUUACUUCCAGUGUGUUUCACACCUCUGCCAGGAGGUUCCCAGGAGGAUUUCCAAACACCACACACCCCCUUGCCAGGAAACCUCGUCAACAAUUCCAGGGAAGGUUAAAGGACAGGCACAAUGGAAAUUCAGCAUCAAUGGGAGCAAAUGAACAACGGUCCCGAGGCACCACAGAAUUCAUGGCCAACAAAAUGGCAAUUCCAGAAGGCACUAAAAGGCAUCCAGAGUCCUAAUGGCCACUAACAAGUUUGAUUUUGCUAAUUAGAGGUGGAUAUCUUAUGACAUGGGCUGGAAGCCUCCAUUCCCAGUAUCCUCUGUGGCCUCUAACACUUGCCUUUUAAAGAAGAUAAUUUUUUUAACAUUAUUUUAAAGAUAGAAAUAAGUAUAUUUUAAAGAUGAGGAUAAAUAGAAGUCUUUCAUGGGCUUGCCUUUAUAAGUUAGAAAGCAUUUUGAGCAUCACGCUUGAGACAAAAUCUAGGUUCUUUCUGGUGAAAAAUCUCAGAGCAAGAUAACAAACCAUUCCAAUACAAAUGAACACCAAUUCUGAUGACUUCAGCAGGGGUUUUACUGAACAGAAGCAUUUCAUAGCAUCUUGCUGUUGUUCUACAUAAAAAUAAUUCCCAUUCCAUCCACAACUCUUGGGUCUUAGCUUUAGUGUAACAAUGGCAUCUUCCAUCCCAUUAAUUUUAUUCUGACAGGCAACAUAUUUAGAAAACCACUUAAUAAUUCAGUAUUUCCUUAGUCAACAUAGACCAUCCCUUUCCAGACACAAACAACAUUGUGGGAUUAAUUCUGCUGUGCUUAUGUGCAAGUGGACUACAAGAAAAUGGGAAUAAACAACAUUGUGGGAUUAAUUCUGCUGUUUUUAUGUGCAAGUGGACUACAAGAAAAUGGGAAUGACAUAAACAGAAGUAAGCACUCCUAAAGCAGAACUUCAAAUUUUAUCUAUGACUGCCUUUAAAGCUAUACUCAAAUUAGCUCAAAAUGCUGAGAAUUUCCCUAAGGGCUAGAUCUCAGCUCAUGUUAAUUACAUCACUCCACCGAAGGUAACAAAUCCAUGUGGAUUUCUACCACCUGGGAAGUGUAGAAGCAGGAAGAAGCAACCAAUGUAUCUGAAGGCAGCACAUAAAUCUUGUAAGGAAAAUAAGCAAGUUUCACACCAAAGCCCAGAAGAGCAGCACUGGAGCUGUUUGCUUCCUUCAAGCUGCGUGAGGAGAAUCAGCCAAGCACAAGCUCCUGCCCCUCAGAGACAGGGGAAUAGCUGAGUGUGGUUUCCAAAUAACUAAAAGUGAGCUGGCCAAAAAAAAAUGAGGUCUCUGAAUAUUACUGAAAUAUUUGGGUGUGAUGUCUUUCAGCUCCUAACAAACCUUUUGUCCCUUCUUUAGGAAUUUUCAGUGAUGUUCCACCUGAGGCUCUUUAUUUUGCUCAUUUAAUUGUUCUC